UUCCGAAAUAAAUGAAAUAAAGAUACACAUACUGUUUCUAUAGGAACACAUAUAUGUAUCAUUUUCACAUCAAAUAGUGUAUUUGAAUACAAACAACAUAAUAUUUCUGUAAAAAUCUGAAAAUGUCAAAAUAUUGGACAUGUAAAAUAAAAUUAGUACGAAAACCUUCAACAAACUGUCAGAAUCGACGAUGAAUCAAUUAUUAUUGCCGACGUAUAUGAAAUAUGACAACGGCUCGGUGCUUUGAACUGUCUUGUGGGAUUUGAAGUAUAGAUCACUGCGUUCUAACUACAACUGACGUAAUUAAUCAAGAGACUCGAAUUGUUAAGAUUGGUUAAAACGCAUCCAAUAAUAGUAAUAAAAAUAAAUAUAUUCUAUAUCCAAUAGAAAAAUAGUAUAAAAAGUCAACAGUUCCCUGAUUGGCUGUAUGAUGCGAAACCCUACAGAAUGUUGUUGUUUAAUAUUCAUUAUUAUUGUUUUUCAUUUAACGUCAUUAUAAUAUUAUUAUAUAAUGUA